GAUGAACGCUGGCGGCAUGCCUAACACAUGCAAGUCGAUCGGUAAGGCUCUUCGGAGUACACGAGAGGCGGACGGCUGAGUAACGCGUAGGAACACACCCUGCAGUGAGGGAUAAGACACCGAAAGGUGUUCUAAUACCGCAUACGGUCUUCGGAUUAAAGCAUUUCAUGCGCUGAAGGAGUGGCCUGCGUCAUAUUAGAUAGUUGGUGAGGUAAUGGCUCACCAAGUCGAUGAUGUGUAGCUGGUCUGAGAGGAUGAUCAGCCAGACUGGAACUGAGACACGGUCCAGACUCCUACGGGAGGCAGCAGUGAGGAAUAUUUCACAAUGAGCGAAAGCUUGAUGGAGCAAUGCCGCGUGCAGGAUGAAGGCCCUCGGGUUGUAAACUGCUUUUAUAAGAGAAGAUUAUGACGGUAACUUAUGAAUAAGGGACGGCUAACUACGUG
rnacentral:rRNA from 1 species